rnacentral:rRNA from 1 species
GGUUGUCAUGCCAAUGGCACUGCCCGGUAGCUAAAUGCGGAAGAGAUAAGUGCUGAAAGCAUCUAAGCACGAAACUUGCCCCGAGAUGAGUUCUCCCUGAGACUUUAAGUCUCCUGAAGGAACGUUAAAGACGAUGACGUUGAUAGGUCGGGUGUGUAAGCGCAGCGAUGCGUUGAGCUAACCGAUACUAAUGAACCGUGAGGCUUAACC